AGAGUUUGAUCCUGGCUCAGAUUGAACGCUAGCGGGAUGCUUUACACAUGCAAGUCGAACGGCAGCACGAGAGAGCUUGCUCUCUUGGUGGCGAGUGGCGGACGGGUGAGUAAUAUAUCGGAACGUGCCCAGUAGCGGGGGAUAACUACUCGAAAGAGUGGCUAAUACCGCAUACGCCCUACGGGGGAAAGGGGGGGAUCGCAAGACCUCUCACUAUUGGAGCGGCCGAUAUCGGAUUAGCUAGUUGGUGGGGUAAAGGCUCACCAAGGCAACGAUCCGUAGCUGGUUUGAGAGGACGACCAGCCACACUGGGACUGAGACACGGCCCAGACUCCUACGGGAGGCAGCAGUGGGGAAUUUUGGACAAUGGGGGAAACCCUGAUCCAGCCAUCCCGCGUGUAUGAUGAAGGCCUUCGGGUUGUAAAGUACUUUUGGCAGAGAAGAAAAGGCAUCCCCUAAUACGGGAUGCUGCUGACGGUAUCUGCAGAAUAAGCACCGGCUAACUACGUGCCAGCAGCCGCGGUAAUACGUAGGGUGCAAGCGUUAAUCGGAAUUACUGGGCGUAAAGCGUGUGUAGGCGGUUCGGAAAGAAAGAUGUGAAAUCCCAGGGCUCAACCUUGGAACUGCAUUUUUAACUGCCGAGCUAGAGUAUGUCAGAGGGGGGUAGAAUUCCACGUGUAGCAGUGAAAUGCGUAGAUAUGUGGAGGAAUACCGAUGGCGAAGGCAGCCCCCUGGGAUAAUACUGACGCUCAGACACGAAAGCGUGGGGAGCAAACAGGAUUAGAUACCCUGGUAGUCCACGCCCUAAACGAAGUCAACUAGCUGUUGGGGCCGUUAGGCCUUAUAACCCCACCUAACGCGUGAAGUUGACCGCCUGGGGAAAACGGUCGCAAGAAUAAAAAUUCAAAGGAAUUUGAGGGGGACCCCCCCAAGCGGGGGAAGAUGUGGAAUUAAUUCCAUGCAACCCAAAAAAACCUUUACCUCCCCUUUGAAUGUCUGGAAAGGCCAAAAAAAAUUGG
rnacentral:rRNA from 1 species